rnacentral:rRNA from 1 species
GGCUCAGAUUGAACGCUGGCGGCAUGUCUUACACAUGCAAGUCGAACGGUAACGAGGGAGCUUGCUCCGCUGACGAGUGGCGAACGGGUGAGUAAUGCAUCGGAACGUGCCGUGUAGUGGGGGAUAACGUAGCGAAAGUUACGCUAAUACCGCAUACGCCCCGAGGGGGAAAGUGGGGGACCGCAAGGCCUCACGCUAUACGAGCGGCCGAUGUCGGAUUAGCUAGUUGGUAGGGUAAAGGCCUACCAAGGCGACGAUCCGUAGCGGGUCUGAGAGGAUGAUCCGCCACACUGGGACUGAGACACGGCCCAGACUCCUACGGGAGGCAGCAGUGGGGAAUUUUGGACAAUGGGCGCAAGCCUGAUCCAGCCAUGCCGCGUGAGUGAAGAAGGCCUUCGGGUUGUAAAGCUCUUUCAGACGGAAAGAAAUCGGUGCGUUUAAUACAUGCACUGGAUGACGGUACCGUAAGAAGAAGCACCGGCUAACUACGUG